UCACUGAUCGAUCUGGCUCAGACUGGACCCGGGACCAGACCGCCGCUCUGAACGCCACGACGUGAAUCCUGCGUCUCCCGAGAGGCAGCAGCCACAUCCAGCUGCAUCCAGCCGCAUCCAGCCGCAUCCAGCUGCAACCAGCCGCAUCCAGCCGCAUCCAGCCGCAUCCAGCUGCAUCCAGUUGCUGCCUCACCUGCCAGCAUCGCCACAAACACACACACUGGAAGUUCACCGGCCGAACGCCGCCAGGAAGUCGCCGACCGUCCGUCCUGCGGUUACGUUAGGAGAUGAACAGGUGGAGGAGCGACGGAGCGACGGAGCGACGGCCGGUCGGUUCACCAUCGUCUCAGAACCCCGGCUGCUCCACGGCGAAGGACGAGCCCGAGCCCAGUCCAUCACCGCCGGAGACACACGCUCAGGGAGCUGGGAUCUUUGAGGAACACUGGACUGGGACGGUGGAGGAGGAACGUGGAACCUGCGCUGUGUGGCGUUCUGCAGUCACGUUGAGCGCAGGCCUGCGAGAGCUGAUCUGUAGUCUGGUGUAGUGCCGGACCGCGCGGCUGCGGCGUGUGCACGGCGUGUGCGUGGAAGGUGUGUGUGUGUGUGUGUGUGCACGGUGUGUGUGGUGUCCUCUUUGUCCUUGUGCCAGAUGUCGGGAUGUGGCGUUCCACUCAUUAGGAUGCCAACACGUCUCUGCUCCGUUAAUACUUCUCGCCUGAUGACUUUAAAGCCCGACGACCCCGCUUCUGACGAGGAGCAGGUAGAAGGAGGAAACACUGCAAGACACACACAUGCACACACACACACCGCGACACACAUCACAACACACACCACGACACACACCGCCA